GAUGAGGAAAUGGAAUUGUAUCUGUAUCGAUCUGUUGGAUCUGAGUAUGUACUUUCGUCUUUCUUUUUCCUACUUCUUUAUUAUUUAUUUGUUUCUCACAAAGAAGAGUAGAUUUUGCAUAAUAUCCAUGGGCUUUAAAUGAUUAAUAUAUGUCUUUAUUUUUCUUCAGGGAAUCAUACAUUCUAUCUCCAAUAAUGAUCAGUUUGAACCUUCGCCUAAAAUAUUGAUAUGUUUGCAGGGAACCAUCUCUCGAUAAUAUCUGAGGUGUAUUUGAUUAAGACUUAUCCAAUUCGUAAUACAUUUAUAGUAUUGUUUCUUAUGGUCAUAUGUUCUCUACCAUGACCAAAAUAUUUGAGAGUUUUGAGAUAAACACUCAGACAAACAUAUUUCAACACCUUCAUCCACUAUUAUGACUCUUUUAGAAGCAGAAUCUGAGUUAUCUGAUGC
rnacentral:lncRNA from 1 species